GGGAGGGUGGCCGAGUUGGUUGAGCCAGGUUAAGGCCAGCUUAACAUCUGUUUCCUGGUGGGGCAACCCGCGCGAGUUCGAGUCUCGUCCCUCUCA
rnacentral:tRNA from 1 species